UACGUAGGGGGGCUAGCGUUGUCCGGAAUCAUUGGGCGUAAAGCGCGUGUAGGCGGUCCGGUAAGUCCGCUGUGAAAGUCGAGGGCUCAACCUCGAAUGCCGGUGGAUACUGUCGGGCUUGAGUACGGGAGAGGCGAGUGGAAUUCCUGGUGUAGCGGUGAAAUGCGCAGAUAUCAGGAAGAACACCAAUGCGAAGGCAGCUCUCUGGGACGGUACUGACGCUGAGACGCGAAAGCGUGGGGAGCGAACAGG
rnacentral:rRNA from 1 species